UCAAGCUGAGUAUCUCCACGUUUAGGUGCACAAAUACUAUUUUGUGAAGAUCUUAAAUUUGUGGUAUAAGAACUUGAAGGAAAUAGAACUGAUUUGUUACUUCUAAAAGAUUUGUAAGACUCCAGGGCCUCCCAGCCGUGAAUAAUCUGAUGGUUCCUGAAAUGACUGGGGAAGCAGACGCUUCGUAUGGCAGUUGAAGAGUGUGUGUCUAUGUGCAUUUAAAACCUUCUUUCUGUACUUACACAUUCACACGGGAAGACAGGCUCAUUCUUGUGCACACUUGAGAGUUUUACAACUGAUGAAAAUUAAUUUAAGAAUCAGAUGGAGCAACUUGACACCAGUGGGCUCAGGAGCCCGGGGAGAAAAAUACAUCACUAAUGGCCAGUUUUCCAUAUGGUCUGCACGGGUAAAGAAAGUCUGCAAAAAGAAGAAAAAAAAAUUUGCGCAGAUUAAACCACAAAAAUAUUCUCCAGUUUAAAGAAGGAACUAAGUGAGAAGGUGACUGAGAAAGAAGUGUGAUUUCAAACAUUGCAGCGGCUCACACAGUGUUUGUUGCACUUUAUUUUUCAGUGGGUUUGGUGAUUUGGACGGAUUAAAAUUCUAGACUGAAAAGUAACUCCUACUGUGGUUAUGGCUAGAGGAAAGCAAGUUCAAGUAUGAUGGGACAAGUUUGAAUAAUGAACUGAUUCCUUUGCCUAUCUUAAUUAACUGUAUUUGA
rnacentral:lncRNA from 1 species